CUGCCCUUUUCAUCCUCAACCGCCACACGCAGGCACUCGCAGGCUCGCUAACAUCACCCAACACGACCUCGUAACGGAGACAGCAUGCAAAUGCUCAUGGCUUGAUACCUCCGCAGCAGGUAAUCAUGGCUACUCCAUCCACUGCCGCCAUCGCUGGUGGUGCCGCCGCCACAAGGCAUCACAGCCGCCUUGAUGGCGACAACAGGGGCUGCGGAAGAGGCUUUCCGCGUGUGGUGCCAUACACUCGCACCACCGCGUUUCUUUUUGCACCCACAGCAGCGACUGCGCCGUCUUCGCUGUUGCCGCCGCGGCGACCUGUGUUGGCUGACCAGUGCUCACGUCGUCGGGCCGUGCCAUCCGACUAUUUUGUAGGCGGUGCUGCCGCAGUUCUUUCGCCAUCGACGCCGCCACCAUUGCCACCUCGUGCAGCUCCGUCAGCACGCCAUCCCUCCUCUCACCCGGUCGAGCCUUUUUUCAUUCGGACUUCAGCAAGGACUGGGCACGAUUCAGAAGCCAUCACAGCGGCGUGGCAGUCAUCACACCCAGGCCGCCGGCCCUGCGAGGGUGCCCGCCACGAUAACACGCGGCCGCACACUUGCCACGGAACACACAGCCAUCGUCCUCGUGUUCACGACGGGCGACCAGCAGAGGCAUCCUUCUCCCGCUCAAGCGGCUCAAUCCAGGCUGAAGCGUACAAGCAUGCGCCAGUAACUCACACGGGCGCUUGCCGGGCUUGCGCGGCAAACGUGCCGUCGUCCUCGUCGCCAUGCCGUUCAGUCGCCGGGGUGCCUUGGGAGGUGCAUCAGCACAGUGACGUCUCUGACGCCGUGGCAACGGCAAGGAUGCGAACACGACCCAUUAACGUCAUGGGCAGAGACGCUCUGGUGGUAUCGGGCUCUCUUCGCACGAGGGGCGGUGAUGCGCAUGAUCGGGUGCGUGAUGCCCGACCAGACUGUGCAUCUGUUGCAGCGUCUUCUCCUGCGCCGCCCCCCUGUGCCGAUUUAGGCAAUGCGCAGCCCUGCAGCUGUCAAAGAGCUGGUUGCCCAUCAACCACUGCACGCGAGCAGCUGCAGCAGCUACAGCCAUCAGGGCAGCGAGGGCGACAGUCUGUGCCUCGUAGUGCAGCUGAAAGUGAGGCGAUCGCUAUGCGCACCCGCCGCUGUUCACAAUCGCGGAGCUCACAGCAUGGGGAAAGCGAGAACACCUUUCGCGCUGCCACAAGGGAGGAUGCAGCACCCGCCUCGACUGGCUUCAAGAGGAGGGAUCCGGUAUUCACAGUGCCGUCAACCAAGGCGCGCGUCAACGCUGCACUUCUCGUCGAGCCUUUCCAUCGCCUCUCCGCUACAGCACGACAGGGGAAAUCGGCGCUCAGACACGCAUCGGUGACGUCGUCGCAAGUCCGGCAGCGGAAGUCGCCGUAUGACGUGCCGCCUUCCACGAGAAAUGCAGCCGUAAUAACUCCUGUGUCGCCACGCAGCGGCUUGCCGCAAGAGGAGUCGGCGCACCGCCUCGAGGAGGCGGAGCCGCUGACCCCCGAUGACGUCCUCGGCUGCGCUUCCACGCGUUCUUCUUCACACGCCGCCCAUGCAUCUGCCCACGAUGGCGUAGCUGGGGCCGUAGCGGAGCGUGUCCACGGUGCUGAAAUCGCCCAUGGUGAGGGCCGGCCGGCCGCCUCGGUCGUAUCAUCUCCAUCACAACACCUUUCGCGGACGAGCCCGCUGGCCCUCGCUGGCGCUGUGCCAUCGCCGUCAUCGCGUCAGGCAUCCCCGUCGGCGGUGCGUGCGCGGCUGACAUACGCUAGCGCGCAGGAUGACGGGUGCUUUGGUCGCCUCUCAUCUCGCUUCUGCGCCGAGGAAGCGCAACAGAAGCAGUUGCUUCUCGUCGCGCAGCGCUGCCACCUCAUUCAGCGGGAGGAGGCUGCUGCUCGCGAGUGGCUCGUGCUAGAUGCGAGUGUGCAGCGGCACCACAUUGUGUGCGGGGAGCGCGCUGCCUAUAGGCUGGCCAAAUCACAGCAGGACCAUCGCCGCCUCCCAGAUGCCUCCGCGUACAGCGUUGCCGGUGCGGACGCGUUUGGCAACGGUCUCGCGCGCGCGCGCUCAGCGGAGCGUUCUCCCUCUCCAUUGCCCGAAGAGGCGCUCCAACUCGCGGCUACGCCACCAUCCGGGCAGCGACGGCGGCGAAUGCCCUCCGCGAGUUCGCGUUCCCUGUUAUGCCGGGGCACAUCUGUGCCAGCGAGCGCCCCUGAUGAGGGCGACGGGGAGAACCAGCUGAGGAGCUUUUCACUGUCCACCUCGCUGCCUCGCCUUGCUGACCAUCGAAAUGAGGACAGUUCGCCUCACGACCAAGACGCACCCGCCAGUCUCGAGGAAGUGCACCGGCACGCCGCGAAAAAGAAGUCUAACUCUGGGGAAAAGGACGAGGCAUUCGGCGACGCGGCCGAGGAAGCGCAAGAGGAACCUGGAUUUUCUAUGCGGCCCUCAGAGGUGAAUCAGUGGACCACCUCGCCUCCACGGGCUCUGCCACCUUCGUCACCCAGCGAAGGACUCGAAGGCGAGCUGCUUGCCCGUAUAUGCGACCUCCACAACGAGGAAGAGGAUCAGCGCUUCCUGCUCACAGGUGACUGCCCUCCCCCCGACGUGUUCCAACGCUGGGCGGACCGUUACUUUGAAGACAAGCGAGUAUGUUUCUCUGCAGCGGCGCCCAGUGCUGGGCAUUCUUCAGCGGUGAGGGCUGCUCUCAGCCCAGAGGCGACUGAGCGGUGCUGUUCGCGGUCCGAUUCGCCCGCGAUUGUGCCACCUACUUACGAUGGCGCUGCAUUCAUUGCGCUUGCACCUAGCGGCAGCGCGCUCGCCCGCAUUCCAGCUGCAGCUUCACAUGAUCCAUCAAGAAGCCCGCUCCUUUCGGCGACGGCUGAGGGGGAGGCCAAGCAAGCGGACGAGGAAUUCCUCAGGCGUGAGGGCGCUUCCGCCUCGUGGCAUCGAUUGUGCAGUGAGCACCGUCGUGCGUGGGCGAUGGAGAACUUCCUCGGCACCGAUGACACCUACGCGAACUAUCAGGAGGGGCGGAGCGCAGGGUCGGCACGAUCACCACUUCCGUCUUCACGCGGCCAAAGUGAGUUCAACGCUAGUGGUCGGUGCGCGCCCGAUCCGCGAAUCUUCGGCGCGGGACGGAGUGCAGCUCCUCAAAGUGCCUUUUUACCGCCGUCGCACGCCGCAUCAUCCUCUUCGGCGCCGCGGCCGACCCGCAUCGAAGGCGCCGCGGCGCGUGCGAAGAGUGACUUCUUGCAGCAGCCCCCAAAGCCGGCGACAACCGACUCUUCGCUGCUCCGCAAGAUGGCGUGCCCGACGGAGAAGACAUACUCGGCACCGCUGGGAAGCGAGAGGGAGGCGUGGCAGGCGCUGAUGGACGCGUUCAUUGACGGCCUCCUGCAGAUCAUGGGGUCUGAAUAGCCGUUUCUCCUCUCCUUACCAGUGUCUCUGUUGCUGGUAGGCUCGCGACUCUCUUCUCGCUGCGGCCGCGAGGUGCGCGCCAAGCGCGCGACUGUCGCCUUCAGCGCUCUGGUUGCCCAUCACGUAGAACACAUGCCCAUCUUAGACGCGCACUGCUCAUCCUCCUCUCAUUUUCUUUUUGCUUCCCCUUUUGCACGGCUACUAGAUCUCCCCUCUCCUGUUUUCUCACUGCUGCCGUGUCACGUCCAUGCGGGACGUGCGGCUACACUGGCGCACGUGUACGCGCUUCUCUCCGCCUUGCUUGUUUCGCACCUCUGUCUUUAUUGCAGCACCACCUUUGAAUCAGCACGAGGUUGGCCCGCCGAUUGGACCGAAGCACCGAAAGGCAUGCGGACGCACGGGCACACAUCAAGUUCAUAAUUCAGCGCGCCUUCUGCUGAUGGUACCCUUUCUUCCCCGCGCCGUUGGCUCUUUCGCAGGGAAACCACGGCAGUUCGAGUUGACACCCUGAAUGGGCAAGAGCUGUACAACAGCAGCACCUGCUGUUCUCGAUCUCCUUCUCGAGCGAAAUGCCCACGCUCAGCCACGGUGUCUAGCGGAUACGUGGACGAGGGAGUAUGCGCGCGCUUUGCAGGCCGGAUGGACGUGGGCUGCCGCACCCGCUGCUUACCUGGCGCGAAC
rnacentral:misc_RNA from 1 species